rnacentral:misc_RNA from 1 species
AAAAACUGGCUGAAGAACCUCUAUGCGGACGCGGGCAUAUCGUUAUUUAUGCUUUUCGUCGCCUUGGGAGGGGCCUCGAUCUUCGGGGUUGUUCUUUUUUUCAUUGUGGGCGCAGAGGCCGCGGGGAAAAUUCCGACCCGAUGGGCUGCUGCUCUUAUGUUUACGAUAGCGUUUCUGAUUAUUAUCGGAGUCGUGACGUACGUGCGGCGAAUGGAAUUGCCGAAGCAAUAGCGUCAGCCGGGCGGCUU